CUUUUCAAAAAAACUUUUCCCACACUUCUCUUUCUCUCUCCUUGUACGUUCUCUCUUUCUUUCUCUCACCCUCUUUCUCUCUUCCUUCAACUAUUCAAACCUAAAUCGGUAGUCAUCCCCUUUCUCUCUCAUCUCUACUUCUCCCCUUAUCCGAUUCAAACCCUAAAUGUGCUGACAUCGAAAUUUCUCUUCCCAACGUUACGAGAAAGAUACUUUAUGUAAGGUAAGGGUUUCUUCGAUUCUUCUGGAGAUGAACUCAAGGCGUGGGAUGCUGAGUUUGUCAAGAGGUAGAGAGGUAGUGUAAAGGUGAGAUUGAUAAACGUUUGUUCAAUAUUAUGUUCAUUUCAUUUGACAUAGCUUUCACUUCUAAGUUGUUAUAAAACUUUUGUUCAAUGUUGAUUUUAAUGGCUUGUGUUUUGAUUUCUCGGUUACGGUGGUUACAUACAAUACAUUUACUCCGAUGGUGAUUUCGCCUUUUUGUCUUAGUGUUGAUGUUGUUGUUCAUAGUAUCUCCUGAAAUAAAAUCAAUAUACAACAAAAAAUUUAUAUAAAGGUAAUUUUGUUGCUAUAUUUUGAAAUUUCCUUUAUUACGUUUAUAAUCGAAUUCGGUAUGUUAGUUAGUGACGCACAUGUGUUUGUAUCCCUGCAGCAUCUUCAAGAGCCUGACUCAUAUGUUGGUGAAGUUGUCAAAGUUAUCGGCAAGAACAUAAUGUUGGUCAAGGGUCUGUUGUGAUAUUGCUGCAAUCUAUAUCGAAGAUCAAUCUACAGGGUGAUGAGGUGGAUUAUAUAGGUACACUCCACCAAUAUUUAUGUUCUAAGGUUUGAAAAUAUGUUCUGAUAGCCAAUAUCUAAUGAUGUUUUUCAGCAAUCAAUCCUAUUAUGAUGAUGUUCUUCUGCGAUCAAUCCUUUCUGAUGUUAUCAUAUUCUUUGGAUUGUGCUGUACUUCUGAUUUUGCAUGGGAGACUUCUAACUUGGUACUUGAUAGGGGUUCAUUUUUUGGGGGGGAUGAUUUUACUAAUUGAAAAGAACAUUUCUCUUAAAUUACUGUGUAAUAGGUGUGCCUUAAAUUACUGAUAAACAAAGUAACCUCUUUUCUUGGUCUUAAGUGAGAUUUGCAAAAUUUAUCUUUAGUGUUUCUGACAAAUAACUUCCAUACACCUUAUGCUGUUUACACCAGGGUUUGACCACUACUAAAUUUUGUUGAAAUUGCAGCAUGAGAUGCUGGCUUGGCAUAUGUUAGAGGCUUGUAGUUUCAGGUAUUUUCAAUUUUAUUUCAUAAGCUGUUAGAGGUUCUUUGACGUCACAUAGGUGUUGUCAAAUUAGAAGUUUAAUUUAACUUCGACUUUAAGGUUAAUAGAAUUGGCAACAGUGUUUGUGGUGUCAUUCUGUAAGUUAUAAGGUUCUUUUAUGUGGUUAGUUUGGAUGCAUUGCAGGAAGAUUAUCUUUAGGAAGAGCAACAUAUUGUCAAAGAAAAUACUGAGAAUAUGAUAUUCUUAACAUGGUAGAUGUAAUAUUUUCUCUACCUAUGGUAGUGACUGUAUGGCUAGAUUUAUUCUUAUAAGACAUGAAAAUAAUGUGAUUAUACAAUUACCCUUAGUGAGUGUCUUUACACUUAUAAUGAACCUAAA